rnacentral:rRNA from 1 species
CAAUUUGCGCCCGAGGCCUCGGCCGAGGGCACGUUUGUCUGGGCGUCGCAU